rnacentral:lncRNA from 1 species
GCGGAGCGCGCGCCAGGCCCCCGCCCCCGCCCUGCUGCGCCGCGGCCUCAGUCAGCCUGGAUCAGGGAGCCGGACUGGAGGCCUCCUGGGAGCUUGAGUCGCACGUAAAUAGGGCUUUCUAGCCAGAGUCGCCUGCGGCGCUGCGAAGAAGGUGUAGCCAGGGAGAGGGUGGAGCCAACGACUGUGACGGGCUUCCCGACUGCCCGAAGUGGGAGUGGUGGGGUUGCAGGAAGGAGAAAGGAAGAGAAGCAGAAGAGGGCAGCAGCGGCUGCCACUAACGGCCUCCCUGGGCGCUGACAGGCUGGGUCGGCGCCCAGUUCGCUGGGCAGUUCGUGCCGCCGCCUCGGCCGCUCGGCCCCUGGGCCUGGACUUGUGGCGCGGGGCGAGGCGGAGGGCUGCUGUCGCCGCGCAGGCAGAGGCCGGGUCCUCGCGGCCGAGACAUGUGAGUAGGAGCCGAACCCACACCGGAGAGCCCCGGAGGGCCCAGCCUUCGGACGCUCGGACCCUUGCUCCCUCCGGGGUCUUCGCGGACCGUGGCUGGCCGGAAGCGUCGGGUUUCGGAAGCAGGCAAGGGAAGAUGUGAUCUGUUUCUCUUCUGCAGAAAAAGAGGCCCUUCCUCCCCUUCCCGCGAAGGUGAGUGUGCGAUCCUGGCUGCUCUUUUUCGCUGUAAAGACUAGGGUGUCUCGAGCGUGCGUAGGAAGGUUGGAACCUGUGUCGACAAGCAGGGCUCAUUGUUGCUUACUCCUUUGAAAACGACAGUGCUGAACUUUGAAUGUUGGUUUGGGAGGGUGAUUUGGGGGUUUGUUGUUGCUCUUGGAUCCUUUAAGAAACAUUCAUUGUUUCUCUGCUGAUUGUACAUUGUUUUUCUUUGUAGAGAAAUCGUUGUCAGUUACCCUUUCUCAAGCAGCCAGAGAUUCUUAAUCUUUCAAGGAGGAACGUUUUCAAGUAGCAAGAAAUACCUAUUGAGAGGACACGUUAGCUGCUUUUGCUGGGGUUUCUGCUACUACAUUGAAUGCUUCCUGGAUGGUUUUAUCUUCCCAAGUUAGCUGUGUCGGUUGAAUUUACCCAUUUUGCUUUCCGGUGGUUAAUAAUCUGUCAGGAGAAACUCCUUUUUUUUUUUGAAUGAAAGGAUAGAGGCAGCUGAGUAUGUCAUAGAGGGGAGGAGAAAUGUGGGGAAGGACACUAGAAGUGGAAUUAAGAGUGAUGACGAUGGCUUUUGGUUUCGUAAUAGGUUUGUUCGAGUGAGUUGUUGGGCUGCUGCAAAUAUUCUAGUACAACACCCAACAGAUAUGAAGAUGAAUAAUCAACCUUUGGCCUCUGUUUCCCUACUCCCUUAACCUUUUACCACUUUAGGUGUGAGAAUCACUUGCUUGUAUGUGCACAUAUCUGUCAGUGUGUGAUAUGUUUACAAACUAGAUAGGUCCAACGGUACAUGUAUUUACCUGUACAGGAAAACCACAGUAGUUGCUGACUACAUAAGCAUAAUGCUUGUUUUUGCUCAGAGAAUCUUGUGUUUGGAGUAUGUAGCAUGUUUUAGUAAACUGUUAAGGGAUAGCUUGUUUCAUUUAUUAAUUUUUUUCCCCUAAUGGUUUGGGACAGGUGUUUCAGGUAUAGGAAGGGAACAUGAUUUUUUUUUUCACCUGACUGUUGAUGAAAGGGGACAUGCUUUUGAGGCAGAAUAGGGAAGGAUAUUAGCUUUGGGGUGAGAUCUGGGUUUGAAUUCUAGUGUUCCUGCUAUGUAAUAGUGGGUAUUAUUUAAAAUCUCUUUGAGCCUCACUUUCUUAUAAAAUUUUUGUGAGGCUUGAAUAAGAUUACACAUGCAAAGUAGUACAUUGCUUGAAUGCUGUGAAAGUAAUGGCUACUCUCAUGGUUGGACGGGCAAAUUGUGUUCAGAGAAGGGCAGGAUGACUCUGCAUAAGGUGAUCUGCCGGUGCCCAGUAUUUCUUCCUCUUUAGUAUGAGAAAAAGGACCUUUAUGUCUUGAACUGGUUAGGGGGCUUAGAGCCUUUUUCUGGAAAGGUUUGACCCUUUGCAUCUCUUCCCUCCCCAUUGCAACUCCCCCUCCUACUCUUCCCCUUCAUUCCUAUUCCUCUACCAACUAUUGUGCUGCCCUCUUGUGGUUAACUACACUAAUAAGAACUUUCUUUUGCUCCUCUCUCAUUACUUUUUUCACUUCCCUUUGCUCCUAGUUUCCCAGACUGUGGCCCUAGAACGCCAUUGAACUCAGGCUUGAACUGAUAGAUUGAUGUAGGUCACAGUUUCAACAUUAGAUUGAUACAAUCCUUUUUAAAGUGUCAUGUUUUCGCAAAGCUGUGUUUUUAGAGGUUGCUCUAAAGUAACUACUAUAUGAAAAUAAGUGUGACCCAGGAUAUGAGAGUGUGGUGUCUAUUUUGAUUGCAGGUUUGAGAAUUUGUACAGUGCCCAACAAGCAUAAGUUAUAAGAACAUUAAUGCUUAAGUGGUUUGAACUCACCUGCUUAAGUAUUUCUUUUGGCCUAGAGGUACUGUGAAAAAAUUACUAAGACUAAGGAUUCCCUAAAUGGAGAAAGUUUGGGAACCUCUGCUUUAGCUUUUGGUUGGCUUUUCUGAUAUAAUUUUUUUUAAUGGAAAAGCUGCAUUUUUCAAAUGUUGCUCACUAAUUGAUUCCCUCCCCACCACAACUGACAAGAUUAUUGAUACAAAGCUAGUACCUGCCGAUCAUAGUUUAAUAUAUUUACUCCUAUUUAAUAUCUUUAUAGCUUAUGCCCAGUUCUUUCAUUCUGAACUAAGAUUAUCGCUUGUCAUUCUACUUCCUGGUUUUUCCAAUUACGCCUUGGUAAUUUUCUUCUCUCCUGGUCAUAUAGGCUUUAAAUUAGACAUUAUCUUUAAACUACCUCUUUUAUUUACCUCAUACAUUAAUUCAUUCAACAUCUCCAGUUCAUAUUUCUUUCUUUUUUCUUUUUCGUCUUUUGUCUUUUUAGGGCUGCACCCACCACAGCAUAUGGAGAUUCCUAGGCUAGGAGUCUAAUCAGAGCUGUAAGCUGCCUGCCUACUCCACAGCGACACCAGAUCCAAGCUGAGUCUGCAACCUACACCACAGCUCACAGCAACGCCAGAUCCUUAACCCACUGAGUGAGGCCAGGGAUCAAACCCGCAACCUCAUGGUUCCUAGUCAGAUUCGUUUCCGCUGCGCCAUGACCGGAACUCCUUUGGUUCAUAUUUCUUUUCUUAGUCAUAUCUCUGCUUCUCCCAUUUUUUGUUUUUUUGUGUUGUUUUGUUUUUUUUGUUUUUGUUUUUGGGGCCACACCUCUGGUACAUGAACGUUCCCAGCCUAGGGGUUGAAUUAGAGCUAUAGCUGCCAGCCUACACCACAGCAGUAGCAACACGGGAUCCAAGCUGAGUCUCUGACCUACACCACACCUCACGGCAAUGUCAGAUCCUUAACAUGCUGAGCAAGGCCAAGGAUCGUACCUGCAGCCUCUUGGAUACUUGUCGGAUUCCUUUCUGCUGAGCCAUGAUGGGAACUCCAGCUUCCCGCGUUUUACCACCACGAAUACCAGGACUCUUCCUCAGUCUAGCAUAUUGAAAGUCAUAUCAAUCUAUUAGAAUCCAGCAUCUCUUCCUUUUAUUUAUCCUCAUUAACACAUGUCACUCUAAAUACUUCUCAUUGUGGAAUUCUCUUGUUCCCAAAUCUUCAGUGGCUUCCCACCUAUUAAGUUUAUAUUCCUUUUCCUGGCUUCUAAGACACUUUCAUCAGUUCCUGCCCUAUUUAUUCAGCCUUUUGUCUAAGACCCCCAAUGAGCAUUCUCUGCUCUAGUAUUGCAAGCUGCUUUGCUUUCCAAUAAUAGCUAUACUUAUUCUGUUUUUUAACUUGACUCAUGUUUUCCACCCUUCUUCCACAAAGCCCAAUUCUACACCCUGUUGCAUUCCUCACUAGAUGUGGUAUAACUGAGCAGGGUCUCAGUCUCCUUAUCUGAAAAAUGAGGAGAAUUGUACUUUUUCCACAGGGCUGUAGUGAGAAUUAAGUGAGUUAAGACGUGAAAAGCACCCAAGACUAGGGCCUUGCACAUUAAGCACUCCCUGAUAUAAAAUAAGCUCCUUUAAUAAUAAUAAACUAAUAAUAUAUAUAAUAAAAUAUUAUUAUACUACAUAAUGCUCCUUAUAGAAUCCACAUAGUCACAACUAUUUAUUACUACUAUUAUUACUACUGUUGUACUCAUAGUUAAAAUUCAACCUUGUUUGUGAAACUUUCUCACUAAAUACUGUUUUUUUUUCCUCUUUAUAGCUCUGUAGGUCUUUUAGUCUUAGAAUAUCUUCACUUAGUUUAUAUAUCAUGCUUUGGUUGUUUGAUAGUUACUUCCCUAGUGUUAGCCAUAUCUUUUCAAGUUGAUUGUGUAUGUUUUAAGAAAUAAGAUCUAGAUUAAACACACUCAGAGUGCUGAGUACAUGGGGAAUAUUCAGUAAAUGCUGUGCAUUACAACAAAAAAAAAAAAAAAAAAAAAAAAAAAAAAAAAAANAAAAA